rnacentral:lncRNA from 1 species
CUUCCCUUGAUGAAAGAUCCUGGCUCAACAGACUGAGCUGCCUCACAAAAUAUAUAUAUGUCUGAAAUACAAGAAGCUCGCACUGACAAAGAAAAAGCCAAAAAUAAAAUAAAGGCAGCUAGCUUGAUGACAAGCUGGCAUGUUCAAAUUUGAGGCUCAAAUUCAAUGUGAAUCACAACCAUGUGAAUCUUACUCUGUUUCAGAAUUGAAGCAGAACUCAGAUCCUGCAAACAGAACUAUGUGGCCUUGAUUUACACAUGUGUGUGGAGACUUGCUCCAGUCCAUGGGGUCACUUGCUCAUGUGCAGAGCUACAUGUGGACUGGAUUAUCUAGGCAUUUGUGCAAAGAAAGAGCCUUUUGGACAUCUGAAAAUUAUGCACUAGUGAAGGAGUGAUCCAGGUGAAGGAGUGAUAAAGUGGCUGCAUGACUCUUGGAGUGCCAAGAGGCAGCAAGACAGCAGUGAGAGCUGGACAUCAUUAAAGCAUCAUCUCUGUGAGCAGAAGCUCCAUUUCCUGGCUGAAGCUCAAGGCGCUGAAAAUCUGGGAAAGAAAAAAGGCUAACCUUAACGCACCAACCUAUAGAUGUUUUGUAAACAGACUGAUAGGUACCUCAUUCUUCUAAAUGUUUAUGUAGCCUUUGAUAUUCACUUUCUUUUAUCUGUUUGUGGGAAGAAUUUACAAUGAUUUGCACAUUUUCAGAGCACAUAGUCUAGUUUUAUCCCAUCUAAUGUAACUUUGUGAACUCCCUAUACUCUUCUCAUUCAAUUGUAUAUUUUCCUUUUGAAGCCUAUUUAAAUUUUUACUUGUUCUAUUAAAACCCAC